CGGUGAACCCGCUUCGGUGGGGGAUCAGUGGCGAACGGGUGAGUAACACGUGGGCAACCUGCCCCUGGCUCUGGGAUAACUCCAAGAAAUUGGGGCUAAUACCGGAUAUGACCGCUGACCGCAUGGUCUGGUGGUGGAAAGAUUUAUCGGCUGGGGAUGGGCCCGCGGCCUAUCAGCUUGUUGGUGGGGUAGUGGCCUACCAAGGCGACGACGGGUAGCCGGCCUGAGAGGGUGACCGGCCACACUGGGACUGAGACACGGCCCAGACUCCUACGGGAGGCAGCAGUGGGGAAUAUUGCGCAAUGGGCGAAAGCCUGACGCAGCGACGCCGCGUGGGGGAUGACGGCCUUCGGGUUGUAAACCUCUUUCAGCAGGGACGAAGCGAAAGUGACGGUACCUGCAGAAGAAGCACCGGCCAACUACGUGCCAGCAGCCGCGGUAAUACGUAGGGUGCAAGCGUUGUCCGGAAUUAUUGGGCGUAAAGAGCUCGUAGGCGGUUUGUUGCGUCGGCUGUGAAAUCCCGAGGCUCAACCUCGGGUCUGCAGUCGAUACGAGCAAACUAGAGUGUUGCAGGGGAGACUGGAAUUCCUGGUGUAGCGGUGAAAUGCGCAGAUAUCAGGAGGAACACCGGUGGCGAAGGCGGGUCUCUGGGCAACAACUGACGCUGAGGAGCGAAAGCGUGGGGAGCGAACAGGAUUAGAUACCCUGGUAGUCCACGCCGUAAACGUUGGGCGCUAGGUGUGGGGCUCAUUCCACGAGUUCCGUGCCGCAGCUAACGCAUUAAGCGCCCCGCCUGGGGAGUAC
rnacentral:rRNA from 1 species